UAUACUUUUAUACGUAUUAUAUAUUUUAGGCUGAGCUCAGGCUUAAUAUUCAUAGGCCUGGGCUCAAACCCUUAACUUUUCAAGCUUAAGCUUGGUGCCCACCCAGCCAUCCCUAGCUCAUAAAAUGAUGAAGUUCAGUAGAAACUAACCAUUGAAGAAAAAAGUUUCACAAUCUAUUAUGGACCUGACUAUAUGAAAACUAUCAAUAAAUCAAGCAUCGCAUCAGUGAUAGUAGCAAAACCUAGAAAAGAGAGAAAGCCUUCAUUUUGGCAUUUUCUUUUUCUAAUUUCUGAAAGGAAAGGACUUAUAUAUUGGAAUCAACCAGGAUUUGGACAAAAAAUAAUUAAUG
rnacentral:misc_RNA from 1 species